rnacentral:tRNA from 1 species
GUGGCCUGGCGAUUAAGACACCAGGCUAGUAACCUGGAGGACGCAGGUUCGAGCCCG